UGUUAAAAAAUUAAUCCAUUUGUACUGUUAAAAACAAGCAUUGCUAAUAGAAUAAUUAGAUAAUAACACGUGGUAUGCCACAUGUAUCUUAUGCUGACGUAUAGAGACCAAUUCUUAAUAGCAAAAAAGGCUUAGAUUUUUAAUA
rnacentral:pre_miRNA from 1 species